rnacentral:misc_RNA from 1 species
UGGCUCUCGCAUCGAUGAAGAACGCAGCGAAAUGCGAUAAGUAAUGUGAAUUGCAGAAUUCAGUGAAUCAUCGAAUCUUUGAACGCACCUUGCGCUCUUUGGUAUUCCGAAGAGCAUGCCUGUUUGAGUGUCAUGGAAUUCUCAACCCUUUAGAUUUUUUCUAAUGGGCUUGGACUUGGAGGCUGUGUUGGUUCUUUUAUUGAAUCAACUCCUCUGAAAUGCAUUAGCGUGAAUUCUUACGGAUCACUUCAGUGAUGAUAAUUAUCUCCACUGUAGUGCUUGAAGUAUUUAUAACAAUUCGUGCUUACAACUGUCUCUCUCUGUGAGACAUCAUUUGACAAUCUGACCUCAAAUCAGGUAGGACUACCCGCUGA